AUUUACAUUUGACAUUUAACAUUUACAUUUAGGUAUAAUAUUUAGAUUUAACAUGUAACAUUUACAUUUAUCAUUUAUAUUUAGACACUUUGACAUUUAGCUAAAUGUGAGAAAAACAUGCGUCAUUUAGUUGAAUGUGUGUGCUGAACUGGUUGCUGUUACAGCAGUUAUUUGAAGCAGAAGCAAAUCAUGUUAGCUGUCCUUUUUGAUGCCUUGAGAAUGUUUUGUAGUCUAUACAGUAACAGUCCUUACAGUUGUAAAAGGCAUAAUGUGACGCAGAAGGUAGGACUGAAGUUUGCUCGUUAAUUGCAAUGACCUGUUGUCAAUAAACUAUAACAUGUUAAACUUCUGCAUUCUGUUUUUAGGUUAGGAAGACUAGGUUAGGAGGACAAGCCUGGCAUCUACUCUGAUGCCAGGCUGGUAGGCAAACUGCAGCGGAUCCAUUGCUGAGCUCACCAUGCAGAACAGUUGAUGUAGAACCAGUCUCUCAGGUAUGAUGACUACUAAACCAAUACCGAAGGUAGGUGGUGGAAAAUAAAAAGAUCCUCUGCGGGCACUCAUCUGCUCUGUACAUACAGUAACACCUUGAUGUUGCGUGACAGAUCAUCUGAUCACACACACUUUGUCACAGAAUCUUCCUCACAAAGAUGAUGCUAUGCACAUUGGUAGUCCUGGCUCACAAUGAGUUCAGUUAUUGUGAGGCAGAUUGAGUGGCUGUUAUUCUCCCGCAGGUAAAGCAGGCUCUGAGACAGUCGCUGGAGUCUAAAGAAGCAGGAUGCCCCGUAAACUUAGCUUUGUUGGCAGGUGAUUCUUGUGAUAAGGAGAUUCCACCAGGUCCCGGGAGAAAGGUGAAAAGGCAGAAGCAACUUGAGGAUCGUGGGCUCUUUGCAUCACGUCUUCAUGGUGUGUGCACUGAUCUCCCCAGCUGGCUUUUUGAUUUGCUUUCCCCAUUAUUUUUAUUUUCUUUAUUAUUUCAAUAAACCGCACAAAAGGA